rnacentral:rRNA from 1 species
UCGAACGAGCGAGAGAGAGCUUGCUUUCUCGAGCGAGUGGCGAACGGGUGAGUAACGCGUGAGGAACCUGCCUCGAAGAGGGGGACAACAGUUGGAAACGACUGCUAAUACCGCAUAAGCCCACGGUGCUGCAUGGCACAGAGGGAAAAGGAGCAAUCCGCUUUGAGAUGGCCUCGCGUCCGAUUAGCUAGUUGGUGAGGUAACGGCCCACCAAGGCGACGAUCGGUAGCCGGACUGAGAGGUUGAACGGCCACAUUGGGACUGAGACACGGCCCAGACUCCUACGGGAGGCAGCAGUGGGGAAUAUUGCACAAUGGGGGAAACCCUGAUGCAGCGACGCCGCGUGGAGGAAGAAGGUCUUCGGAUUGUAAACUCCUGUUGUUGGGGAAGAUAAUGACGGUACCCAACAAGGAAGUGACGGCUAACUACGUGCCAGCAGCCGCGGUAAAACGUAGGUCACAAGCGUUGUCCGGAAUUACUGGGUGUAAAGGGAGCGCAGGCGGGAAGACAAGUUGGAAGUGAAAUCUAUGGGCUCAACCCAUAAACUGCUUUCAAAACUGUUUUUCUUGAGUAGUGCAGAGGUAGGCGGAAUUCCCGGUGUAGCGGUGGAAUGCGUAGAUAUCGGGA